rnacentral:rRNA from 1 species
AGAGUUUGAUCAUGGCUCAGAAUCAACGCUGGCGGCGCGCUUAACACAUGCAAGUCGCACGAGAAAGGGGCAACCUGAGUAAAGUGGCGUACGGGUGAGUAACACGUGGGUAAUCUACCUCUUAGUGGGGAAUAACCUGGGGAAACCCGGGCUAAUACCGCAUAAUCUCGAGAGAGGAAAGCAGCAAUGCGCUGAGAGAGGAGCCCGCGGCCGAUUAGCUAGUUGGCAGGGUAAGAGCCUACCAAGGCAGAGAUCGGUAGCCGGCCUGAGAGGGCACACGGCCACACUGGCACUGAAACACGGGCCAGACUCCUACGGGAGGCAGCAGUGGGGAAUCUUGCACAAUGGGGGAAACCCUGAUGCAGCGACGCCGCGUGAGCGAUGAAGCCCUUCGGGGUGUAAAGCUCUUUCGUCAGGGAAGAUGAUGACGGUACCUGGAGAAGCAGCUGCGGCUAACUACGUGCCAGCAGCCGCGGUAAUACGUAGGCAGCGAGCGUUGUUCGGAGUUACUGGGCGUAAAGGGUGUGUAGGCGGUUCUUUAAGUUUGGUGUGAAAUCUCCCGGCUCAACCGGGAGGGUGCGCCGAAUACUGAGGGACUCGAGUGCGGGAGAGGAAAGUGGAAUUCCUGGUGUAGCGGUGAAAUGCGUAGAUAUCAGGAGGAACACCGGUGGUGUAGACGGCUUUCUGGACCGUAACUGACGCUGAGACACGAAAGCGUGGGUAGCAAACAGGAUUAGAUACCCUGGUAGUCCACGCCCUAAACGAUGCAUAUUUGGUGUGGGUCAUUCAGUUGAUCCGUGCCGGAGCUAACGCGUUAAAUAUGCCGCCUGGGGAGUACAGUCGCAAGGCUGAAACUCAAGGGAUUGACGGGGGCCCGCACAAGCGGUGGAGCAUGUGGUUCAAUUCGACGCAACGCGAAGAACCUUACCUGGGCUCGAACGGCUGGUCAACGGAGGUGGAAACAUCUUCUACUCCCGCAAG